UAAAGCGGCGGCGGGCGCGGCUCGGCGCACUACCGCCUUCCUCCCACCGCGUGUCGCCAUGGCAGCCGCAGGCAGCCCCCUAGCGCGGCUGGCGCUACUUCUGCUCGCCGCAGCCGCCGUCGCGGCCCUCGACGCUUCGGACCAGCCGGCACCAGAAGGGGAUUCGUUUGAAAUAGCAGCAGAAGUUGGCCGAGGGGAAAAGCGAGACAAAAGAACUGUUUUGCUUGGAGCUGGCCUCGGUUUUGGGAAAGGGCUUUUACUUGGUAAAGCUGCUGGUUUUGCCCUUGGGAGUACAUUGAGAGGUGGCUAUGGAGGUUACUAUGGAGGUGGUCAUGGCUACUACGGAGGUGGCUAUGGACACAGAUAUAACUAUUAUCCAUCUGGUGGUUAUGGACACAGAUAUAACUACUAUCCAGAUGAAGGAUAUGGCCACAGAUAUAACUAUUAUCCCCAUCACAACUAUGGUGGAGGUUAUUAUCCAGGAGGCGGGUAUGGUGGAGGCUAUGGUGGAGGCUAUGGUGGAUCCCACAGCCAGUCCUCAAGUGCAAGCUUCUCUGGAGGCAUUGGGCCAUACACUGGAAGCUUCUCUGCCAGCCAUUCAUCUGCAGGAGGAUAUGGGUAAGAGAAUAACUUUAGCCUUUGAACUUACCACUUAUAUUUUGCAUCUGUAAAAUAGAGAUAUGAAUGAUGUAGGUAGGGGAGAAAAGGUGAGAACCUGGGGAGAAGGUAGUGAUGGAUGAAGGAAGAGAAUAAGUAUGGGGUAUGUUGGGGGAGGAAAGUACAUUAGGAAGUGUAUAGUGUUAAAAUAACUGGAUUGGUUUUAAGUGACGUAAGAGCUUAUUGAAAAAGAAGAUAUUGAAAUAUGCAAGUUUUCUCAAAGAAAAUUUAGUAGUGCUUUAAUAUGCUACUACUCUAAUAAUAUAGCUGUCUAUGAAACUGCUGGUCAGUUUCCUAAUUCAUCUAAGGUUUUCACUUUAAGAUAAAACACAAAGUUUAUAAUUUAUAUUUAGUAUCAAUGAAUAUCUAAGAUGUAUGUUGUAUUUACAUAAAAAUUAGGAAUCAGAACAUUGUUAUUUGCUGUUAUUUGUAUAGUUGCUCAAACUCUCUGGUUAUUUGUGGGUUCUUAUGACAGUGUUUUUAAUUCAUAACAACAAUGUAUGUGGUUAUAAAUUUAUAUUAAAAUGGAUAUUCUUACAAUGAGAGACAUAAGAUUAAAGAAACACCUUAGAGAACAAUGAAUAUGUCAUCCUGUACAUUGUUUCACAUGUGUCUUAUUCAUCAAAUAAACACUGUGGAAGCGCGCACACGCUCUCUCUCUCUCUCUUUCUCUCUCUCUCUCUCUCUCUCUCUCUCUCUCUCUCUCUCUCUCUCACACACACACACACACACACACACACACACACAAAGAAAGAAA